UAUGCAGCCACACCCAUGCCUUAGAUGUGUGUAAUUCAAGUGGAGAAGACACAAGCCAGUGGUCGCAAUAUCAACACUUGAGUGUUCUGUAAACGGUGAGUGUGAGAGGUGGGAGUCAGCCAGUGCGUCUCAGAGGUGAUUUAGAGCCAUCAGGAGGACAGGAGGAGCUGCGCUGUAGGUGUUAGGGAUCUCCUAGUUGAUGGCUUAUACAGUGUACAUGGUAAUAAGACAGUACGGAGUCUUACACUUUUCCCAGUGUGCCGGCCUUGUUUUCACUUCCUGUUUCGCUCUUGCUGCUUCUCUCCCCUUAGAUUAAUGUUUGCCAUGUGCAAGGAAAUGGCAGAGGCAAAAUGCUGGCGGCUUAUGGAAAAAUAAUUUAUAAAAAAAUGAUGGGAUUGGUGUCAGCAGAAAACCAACAGUGAUGUGGUGGCACACAGUGAACUGACAGGACCCAGGCAGCAGCGGUUCUUUUGGUGGCAAUGGUGCCAUGUCAUGGGUACUCUCCUUGCUGAUGGCAGAUACCGACAGGCAAACUGUUGCCUUGCGUUUAGCUCUGUUAACCAUUGACAGUAAGGUAAGCAUGUCUUCAGCGUUCAUGGCUCUUAAAGAUCUUGUCUGUAACACAAGGGUUUAAGACUGGGGUCUCAUUUUGUUGUCCUGACUUAGACUUGGCAGUCCUCCUGCUUCAGCCUGCUAAGUGCCAAGAUUACAGGGUUGAGCCAGCAUGCCUAACUUCUAGUUUAGUUUCUUCAGACAGGGUCUCAUGCAGCACAGGCUGGCUUUAGACUUGCUAUUGAGCAUAGGAUUACCUUGAACCCUUGAUCUUCCUGACUCUACCUUCUAAGUUCUGGGAUUCCAGGCAUGCUCAGUUAAAACAAUAGGUGGA
rnacentral:lncRNA from 1 species